GACAGAGGGUGCAAACGUUGUUCGGAAUUAUUGGGCGUAAAGAGCGUGUAGGCGGCCAGGUAGGUCUGCUGUGAAAACUCGAGGCUUAACCUCGAGAUGUCGGCGGAAACCAUCUGGCUAGAGUCCGGAAGAGGAGAGUGGAAUUCCUGGCGUAGCGGUGAAAUGCGCAGAUAUCAGGAAGAACACCCGUGGCGAAGGCGGCUCUCUGGGACGGUACUGACGCUGAGACGCGAAAGCGUGGGGAGCGAACAGG
rnacentral:rRNA from 1 species